GACGUAGGGUGCGAGCGUUGUCCGGAUUUAUUGGGCGUAAAGAGCUCGUAGGCGGCUUGUCACGUCGAUUGUGAAAGCCCGAGGCUUAACCUCGGGUCUGCAGUCGAUACGGGCUAGCUAGAGUGUGGUAGGGGAGAUCGGAAUUCCUGGUGUAGCGGUGAAAUGCGCAGAUAUCAGGAGGAACACCGGUGGCGAAGGCGGGUCUCUGGGCCGAUACUGACGCUGAGGAGCGAAAGCGUGGGGAGCGAACAGG
rnacentral:rRNA from 1 species